rnacentral:pre_miRNA from 1 species
AGCCUCCUGAACCCGUGCCGAGGUUUCGCUAGACUCCAGGACAUUAGGGCUGGUGAGAUUCCUAAGAUAAGUUAAGUG